GGGACUUCUACGGAGGAGUUUCUAUGUUUCUACUGCAACUAGAGGAGGCAUCCAAAGGGAUCGCAUUGAUCCCGAGUGUCCCUGGCCAUGAUUUUGGAUCAUGCUAUCCCUUUGGAUUCCUCCUUUGGUGGCUUCUAUAGCAUUAACGGGUUUCAUUGGCGAUGCUCCACACUCCCUUCUCGUGCAUCAUCAACACCAGCAACUUCAACAUGGCUCGAGAAAGCGAAUUCUAUAAUACCAAGUACCAACAGAUCAAUCAUUGGAUCUGAAUUUAAAAAAGCUACAUACAACUUGCUCCAAAGAAAUAAAUGGACAUUGGCCCCAAGAAAAUCUCCAAGAGAGGUACGUAUCUUGUUGUUAUUGUUGCUAACAGUUGUCCUGAAUGUGAUUUGCUAAUUUUAUUAAAUACACAUGUACUCCUUUAAGAUAUAUGGCAAACCUGAAAUCAAGGAUAUUGGAUAUCUAUUCCCUCUUUCAAAAACAUGUGAGACAUUAAAUUUAUAUGGGUGUUGAGGAAGAAUAUGUCCGCACCGGAUCUUUAAUAGAUCUUUUGUUGUUUUCAAGCAAUGCUAGUGAAGUCUGAAUUAGGUGUCAAAUGAGUUCAUAGUUCGAUUAGUAAUCACAUUCUCCUCUCCUCUCAAAAAGUAUGAGGUUCUAACCUCUCCUUUGUAACGAAGGGAUGAGGUUUUCUGCCGGAGCUUCUACACAAUCACGAGCUGACUCCUCUUAUUUUUCGCUGAAAGAAUUUAAACCAACUUUGGAAAUUCUUGGUGAAGGGAAAGUUUCUCUUGCAGCUAAUUUACAUGCAUAUGUACAUUCUGUCUCUUACAGACUACAAGCUUUGAUUCUUUUCAUUAUACACCGUCAUCAACGUGAUAACCAAGUGGAAGCUAGCUAUUAGCAACUACUGCAAAUAAAACAGUGCCCCUUGUAUUGAAGAUGAUAUAAUUAAUUUCUACUCAUAUAAAUGCUUUGGCAA